CCGGAUGCUGACGAGAGGGAAAAAGAAACUCUCGUCUCUAAAACCUCCGAAAUUAACCUCUCGCUCUUUCCAUGGAGCUCCAGAUACCCAAGGGCACGGAACCCCAGAAAAAUGCCCGUAACAAACCGCUGGAGACGCCUCCUCCUGCUCCGGCGGCGGCGGCGGCCUCCUCCAACAAGCCCCCUCCUCCUCCUGCCACGGCGCGCCUCCAAGACCCUACUCCUCCCCAUACCUCGACUUCCCUCGCGGAGCAGCACGCCGACCGUGGGAACGCCGGGGAGCAGCGCAAGGAGGGAGAAUGGGGAGGGGCAGAGCAAAAGGGGCCCAAGCCCCAGGCCUCCGAGACCACCUCGGUGGGGCCCUCCUCGGCGACGGCAAUUGCUGCGGCGGCCGGCGCUGCCACCGAUCUCCAGAAGAAGCGCCGCCGAGCGGAACGCUUCGGGAUGCCCGUGCUGCUGACUGAGGAGGAGAAGCGCAACUCUCGAGCCAAGCGGUUUGGAACUGGCUCUACUUUGCAUGGAAUACAGAAUGCAGGACAAGUGGAAGAGCAGAAAAGAAAAGCCCGAGCAGAGAGAUUUGGGCUUAAAGCACACUCCCCAGUUGAUGAGGAAGCAAAGAAGAAGGCUCGGUUAGAGAGAUUUGCUCCAAACUCCAAGACUGCGACUGCAGAAGAAGAAAAAAGAAACACGGGCAAUCAGAUUUUCACAAACAUCCGGCACCUCUCAAGCCAAUGGCAGGGCCAACUCUGAACUGAUGGCUUCUGUAGCUAACACCAGAUGAGAGGCCAGAGGAACAAGGGCUCUUUGUGGUAGAAGACAAAGCUGUUAUGUAUUUUGUACGCUUUAUUGCCUUCCUAUGCUUCGGAUUGCUGCUUUUGCAUGGCGUAGUAUAUAGAGGUACCAUUGCAGAAAGUGUAAAACAUGGCUUGUGACAAAUGGAGAUUUUAUCCCCUGCUGCUGUUGCGAGUGUAUUAAUGGUUCUUAGGAUCAUAAAGCACUGCUGGUCAACGUGGCUGCACAUUUGUUCUUAAACUAUAAUUGCAGAGAAGGCUGUUUUAACAUAUCUCUUAUUCCGGUGAAGCAUUGAAUUAAUAUGUCUUGAUCUGGUGGACAAUUCUAAUCUCAUUUUGGCUUCUGGUGGAUGGCUGUCUGAUGAUGGCUCUUUAGGCAUGUUUUACAGGAUCUGUUCUGAACCAAUGGGCUUGUAACAAUUGAUGCUCUUGUGCCCUCAUGAAUCAUCAUCUAAUAGAUAAUUUGUUGCAUGCUCCCUUUGAAAAUGGGAUCCAGCAACACUCGAAUUCUGUUGAUUUGGUUAUUUGUCUAAAAGAGAAUUUGUCAGGUUGUUUGCUGAGGCAGUUAAUGUAUGUCAUGAUGUUGUAAGAUGGUCAACAAGGGAUCCUUGAAGCAUGAAGCCCGUGAGAGAGGGAUGUCGAACCGGAAAAUUCAUUCUCCAAAAUUCUCUUUAAUGAGAUCGUUUCAGGUGGAAUUGAAACCUUUAACUGCCUAGGAAUGAAACCAACCCGAGCCAGACUGCGUUGCGAGAAGCAACUUUGAAAUGCCUAAAUGGCUGUUGAUAGAACGGCGUUGGACACCAAAAUCUAAAACCAGUAUCAGACUUCCUGACAUUGAAAAAAUGCUAGCCAUACGAUGCAAGGCACAUUUUUAAUCAUUGAUGAUGCAACGUGAGACGCUUGUAAAAAUUACAUUUGGUUGGGCUGCCAAGAUGGAUGAGCAACGCCUAUGAUGGCCUUUAACUGUAUCUUAACACUUUUCUGCGUGGUUUCACCGUGCUCAAAGCAGUCACUGCAGGUAACAAUAAAAAGUUGAUAAAUAUCAAAUAGGGAUCGACACUCAACACGUGCGGGGGAGGGUUCCAGACUCCAGGUUCCAAUCCAGAAGGUUGCAUUUCGACCAUAUUUCUCAGGAAAAAAAAAAAAAAAA